rnacentral:sRNA from 1 species
GACAGAAUAGAGUAAAACAGCCGUGUCA